UACGAAGGGGGCUAGCGUUGCUCGGAAUCACUGGGCGUAAAGCGCACGUAGGCGGACUCUUAAGUCGGUGGUGAAAUCCCGAGGCUCAACCUCGGGUCUGCAGUCGAUACGAGCAAACUAGAGUGUUGCAGGGGAGACUGGAAUUCCUGGUGUAGCGGUGAAAUGCGUAGAUAUCAUUAGGAACGCCGGUGGCGAAAGCGAUCGACUGGACCUCUUCUGACGCUGAGGCGCGAAAGCCAGGGGAGCAAACGGG
rnacentral:rRNA from 1 species